GACGAACGCUGGCGGCGUGCUUAACACAUGCAAGUCGAGCGGUAAGGCCCUUUCGGGGGUACACGAGCGGCGAACGGGUGAGUAACACGUGGGUGACCUGCCCUCAGCUCUGGGAUAAGCCUGGGAAACUGGGUCUAAUACCGGAUAUGACUUCACAUCGCAUGGUGUGUUGUGGAAAGUUUUUUCGGCUGGGGAUGGGCCCGCGGCCUAUCAGCUUGUUGGUGGGGUGAUGGCCACCAAGGCGACGACGGGUAGCCGGCCUGAGAGGGCGACCGGCCACACUGGGACUGAGACACGGCCCAGACUCCUACGGGAGGCAGCAGUGGGGAAUAUUGCGCAAUGGGCGGAAGCCUGACGCAGCGACGCCGCGUGGGGAUGAC
rnacentral:rRNA from 1 species